rnacentral:rRNA from 1 species
UACGUAGGGUGCAAGCGUUAAUCGGAAUUACUGGGCGUAAAGCGUGCGCAGGCGGUUAUAUAAGACAGAUGUGAAAUCCCCGGGCUCAACCUGGGAACUGCAUUUGUGACUGUAUAGCUAGAGUACGGUAGAGGGGGAUGGAAUUCCGCGUGUAGCAGUGAAAUGCGUAGAUAUGCGGAGGAACACCGAUGGCGAAGGCAAUCCCCUGGACCUGUACUGACGCUCAUGCACGAAAGAGUGGGGAGCAAACAGG